rnacentral:lncRNA from 1 species
CAAGUGAAAAACUAUAAAGCUUGGCUAUAUACCACAGAAUGGCUGAAUACUUCCCCAAAAUUAAUUUUGUUAUCCAAAUUGAAUACAUAUUUUCGUAUAUAGCAUCAUGAGCCCAGCAUAUAUACCAAGGUAAGCACGACAGAUAGAGUAGAUUUCAGUAGCUAGUUUCAGGACAAGUGACUCAGCCAGGAAGUCUUCCUCCCACUGUCACAGUUGAAAGCAUCAAGAUCAUCAACAUGGACCGACAUUUAAACAAUCGUGCAGUACACUAAGGUGUUUUUUGGUUUUCAGACAAUUAACAAAACUAUAAAGCGGAUCAUGUCACAGUUAUUUACUUGAUUUGUUUGCAGGAGAAUGUCAGCAAAAAAAGGAAUAAAUAAGAACCCUCUAGGGGGUCGCCCAAAGUCUUGGGCUCUUGGCCGCACAGUAAACCACGAGGAGCUCAAGCUCGUCAAACGUGUGUGGCGCGUGGGUGUGGGUUAGGACUGAGGUUGCUAUAUAUAUGAGGGCAUGAGACGUGAAAAACCAGCAGCCUUGAGAUGAUCUAAUAAAUACUAACCAAUGGGUUGUACCGGGACAGAGGAAAAUAAGAAAAUGUGACAAUCAAAUGUGGAGGGACGGAUAUGAUUCAACUGGAUAAAUUGGCCAUGCAUAUAGCACGGUAUCGUUGGACUCUGUGGCGGAGCAUGGCCUAAAAUCACAGAGCAAAUUUUCUCAAUGCUAUCUGUAAGACUAAGAACUGAGCCUUAUUUAACUAGAUCCAUGGCAAUGACUGAACAAAUACAUUAAUUGAGAAUGGUUUACCAAGUUCUAGACAUGAAAAACUAGUCAGACACAAACUUUGGAUAAUGCCUGAAUGAAUUUUAGUGUCGGUUCCCUUUUAUGCAGAAAAUGAACGAGGUGGAUAUUUUGAGAUAGAUAACUAGGCCUUAUGCUUUGCCAAGAGCUUUGGGAUAACUAGGCCUUAUGCUUUGCCAAGAGAUUGAGUGAUUGAGGGAGACUAGAAUUGUUUCUUAAUAAUUCAUUGCUUGCUUUCCAUUGUGCCCUAUGAGCUAAAUAUAAAAGGUACAAAGGACUAACACCUCUUGUGCCUAGACAAUAUGGUACUAUUCCUAUAGACAAAUAACUAAGAGAGACACUAAUUAACACUAAUGGGCUUAAGGCCCAACUAGGACACUUGCGCCCUACGGCGCCCCUCUUUAUGCCC